rnacentral:rRNA from 1 species
UACGUAGGGUGCGAGCGUUGUCCGGAAUUAUUGGGCGUAAAGGGCUCGUAGGCGGUUUGUCGCGUCGGGAGUGAAAACUCGGAGCUUAACUCCGAGCCUGCUUCCGAUACGGGCAGACUAGAGGUAUGCAGGGGAGAACGGAAUUCCUGGUGUAGCGGUGAAAUGCGCAGAUAUCAGGAGGAACACCGGUGGCGAAGGCGGUUCUCUAGUACGGUACUGACGCUGAGACGCGAAAGCGUGGGGAGCGAACAGG